GGGAUGGGAACCCUGCAGGGGAGUUGGAGACACUCUUUCAUGUGGCUUCUGCUUGUGAUGACAGAGAGGGAGGGAGAGAGCAUGUGGGCUUAGACACGGCUGGGCAGGAUCCCACACCAGAAUGUUCUGUGAGGGGGGGUGGAAUGGCUGGGGGCGGGCCCUCCAGGUGGUUGCAUCGUGCAGCUAAGGUUGAGGACAGCUGAGCUGGAGGCCCAGUUCCUGCAGGGGCGUCCACCUCCCACCUCCAGGGAGUGACUGGGGCGGGCUGCUCAGACAGGUGACAUUGAAAAGCCCUUCACUCCGAUAAACACUCUCCUCUGAAUGGCCCAGAGUGGGGGCUGGGGCUGGGGCGAGAACUCAUGGAGUCUGGAGGGGCAGGGGGGUCACUGCUGAAAUACUGUCCUCAGGACCUGUGCCCCGACAGCCUACUUCUCUCCAAUUACCCUGCUGACUGUGGGCGAUAAAACCUGUUCUCUGAAGUCUGGGCGCCCGGCAGGCCGGGCUCCCGCGUGACUAUUGGCCACCAUCGGCCCUCCCUUCUGAGUGGCCUCUCUGCGUCUUCUUCCCUCCUGUCCCUUUAGGUGGACCCUGUAGGACAGAGGAGCCAGGUGCCCCAAUAGUCUGUUAUGGAUUAGAUUGCAUCCCCCCUCCCAUUCAUAUGUCAAAGUCCUAACUCCCAGGACCUCAGAUUGUGACUGUACCUGGAAGUGGGAUCUUUACAGAGGCAAUAAGCUAAAAUGAGGUCAGUAGAGUGGGUCCUAAUCUAAUAUGACUGACGUCCUCAUGAGAAGAGGAAAUUCGGACAUAGCCCUGCAGAGAAGAAGGCCAUGUGAACCUGAAGACGGCCAGCCACAAGCCAAGGAGAGAGGCGUCAGAAGAAACCAACCCGCUGGCACCUUGAUCUCGGACUUCCCGCCUCCAGACUCUGAGAAGGUAAAUUUCUGUUGUUUAAGCCCCGCAGUCUGGUUCUUUGUUAUGGCAGCCCGAGCUGAAUAAUACCCGCUCCCAUUCUGCCCCAGGACCUUGGGGCCAGCUCAGAAUGCCCCAGCACUCAUCUGAGUGGUCGUUUUCAAGCUUUAUUUUCUCAACCACACAGCUGUCUUUUCCAAAUGAAACCGUAUCCUACAGCCCAAUACACCAAACAGAGAAGCGGGGUUGUUCCGGUUGAGUGAAGGGGUGGGAGGAGCUGCCUGGCUCCAGUAUUUCGACACCCUUAUUCUCACCUGACAUCUGUUGGCCUGGGUACUUUCCAUAGAGGACAGUUUACAAUCCACUGCCCUGGGGGGUUAUACCCGUUUUACAGAAGACCCGUCAGCCUGGGGCUGGCAGGAGAACCCCCUACGGGAAAAAGUGACACCUGUCACUUCCUUGCCUGUUGUCUCUACUCUUAGGUUUCAGGGUUUUAUUACAACAGAGAUUCAGUCGAUGAACUCAUUCCCAGUCAAACAUUGGGAGAGUCAGUUAGGAUGGAAUGCUGGAUUCUCAGUCGGAUGCCAGGGUUGGUGCCUCCUCCGCCCUUACUAGCCGGGUGCCCCUUGAGCCAGUCACCUCCCCUCUGUGAACCAUCGAUUUCUCAUCUGUAAGUGGGGAUGGAUGCUAAGGGCGUGAGCUAGGAGGCAGCCUAGGCGAGUAGAAUCAACAUGAGCUUUAGGGUCGGACAGACCUGAGUUUGACCCCAGCUCUGCCACCUCUCAGUCGUGUGGCCUUGGGUAGGUCAAGUGACCUCUGAGCUUUGGCUUCCUCAUCUGUCACAUGUGGGUAAUAGGCAGCCGAGAGGGCUGUCCGGGGAUUAACAACAUCAUGUGUGCAGAGCGCCCUGCACAGAACUUGACACACAGUAGGUGCGCAACUAAAGCCAGUUCUCUCUGAACGCUCCUGUCUUUCUAGUAGAUCAGAGAUCAGCACACUUUGUCCGGAAAGAGACAGAGAGUGAAUAUUUUAGACUUUGCGGCCCUUAUAGUCUCUGUUGCAACUGCUCGGCUCUGCCGUGGAGGCAGAAAAGCAGCCAUAGACACAGGUAACUGAAUGAAUGUGCUGUGUCGAUUCAACUUCACACACACCGAAAGUCGAAUUUACUACAACUUUCACAUGUCAUGAAAUAUUCUUUUGAUUUUUUAAACAAUUUAAAAACGUGAAAACCAUCCUUACUCGUGGGUUGCACAAAAACACAGAGAGCUGGAUUUGGCCGGUGGGCCGUAGUCUGCAGACCCCUGUGUCAGAUUGUGAACGUCUGCAAACCUGCCCAAGCUCCUUUAUAGUCUCAGUGUCUCUCCCACUCCUUGCAGCCCCCAGUGAGCGUCUGGUGAAUGACAGAGAUACUGAAUGUCCGUCUAUCUCUCAGAGGUACAGCUGUGGGAAUUGGUACUCGAGGCACUUUGGGGAAGAAUGAAGCCCCUUCCAAGGGAAUUGCAUCUUGCAAGAGGAGGCAGGGGGAGCUGGGGGCCCCGGGGACCAAAGACCUUGACGUUCCUGUAAUUCUGGCACCGCGGGGUCCCCUGCCAUCCCCGAUUCGGCCAGCAGGGGGCGCUGCGGGACCGCUUUCCUCCGCGCGUCCGGGCGGCCGGGAAGUCGUGUCAGCGGCGCCUGCUGGGAGACGCGAGAUGCCGCGAGGUGGCUCCAUGCCCUCCGGGUGUCUUUUCUCCCCAGGGAGUCUCGGCGCUUUUUUGCAGAGGGAGGCACGGGGAUGAGCUGCCCGGCGGCGGAGCUCAGGACCAGCAGACCCCUGUUCCCGGAGAUGGAAUGAAAUGAAAAUACAGCCCACGUUGCAGGUGGCCGUCAUCUGGAGUUUCAGAGUUCCCUUUAUCACUCCUUUUGCUUAGUUCGUAUGUGUUUAUAGAGGAAUUAAUUGGGGAAAAAAGCCAGGUCUGUCUUUAAUUAAAGGCAGGCCCAUUAAGUGCGUGACAGAUACCAGGAAGAAAGAAGUGGUCAGAUUGGGCCGUGCUUGGGCACCGAGGACUUGCAAAUGACACUCAGCCUUUGAGACCUCAAAGAAAGCCCAGAGGCGAGACCGUUUGCCCCCGAAGGCCACCUGUGAUGUCUUGGACAGUGAUGGGCACGGUUUGCUCCCUGAGUCUUUGUGUCCCCAUCUGUGAAGUAGGGAGGGAGAAAUGUCACAGAUAAGCCCAUGGUGUCUGGCGGUGUUUGCAAAGCAGGGACCCCAGGCCAGCAGCAUCAGCAUCACCUGGGAGCUUCUUAGAAAGGCACAUUCUGGGGCCGUGCUCCAGACCCCUGAAUCAGACACUGGGGUUUGGCGCCAGCAAUUUGAUGCCCGCUCAGGUGUGAGAGCCACUAUAGGUGUCCUGUGGCUGUUUGCAGCCUUGGCUGCACAUUGGAGUCACCUGGCUUUUUUUUUUUUGAGGAAGAUUAGCCCUGAGCUAACAUCUGCCGCCAAUCCUCCUCUUUUUGCUGAGGAAGACUGGUCCUGACCUAACAUCCGUGCCUAAUUUCCUCUACUUUAUAUGUGGGAUGCCUGCCACAACAUGGCUUGCCAAACAGUGCAUAGGUCUGCACCCGGGACCCGAAUCGGUGAACCCCUGGCCGCCAAAGCAGAACAUGGGAGCUUAAUCGCUGCACCACUGGGCCGGCCCCUCACCUGGCGUUUUAAAGCCUCGAUGUGGGGACCACACCCCAGACCAGUUGCAUCAGGCCACCUAAGUUUGGAACCAGCAUCUGCGGCUUGUUGAAGCUCCCCAGGUGAGUCCAGUAUAGCCAAGGUUGAGCCCACUGGGGUAGUGGAAAGUAGUUGUGGGGUUAGGCAGACCCAAGUUCAAAUCGCAGCUUUCUCACUAGCUGUUUGACCCUGGGCGAGGCACGCCGCUUCCCUGACCCGCGGCUCCUCUUCUGUAGACUCGAGAUCGUCUUUCCUCCUUCGCAGAAUUGUUUAAAGAUGGAGUGAAUGAUGCACGUAAGCAUCUCGAAAACAGAAACUCCUAGAAGAAUACCUGGCACCCAGUGGGGGGUCAGCACAUGACAGCUCCCUUUCCCGUCUGUUGGACUGUGGGAGUUUUCCGGAGCAGGGAGCGCAUCAUGUUUUUCUUUGCAUCCCAGGGAAUAAUCAACACCUUGUAUGAACCACACCCUAGGGAGGGAGCUGGGCAAGCAGGCAUGCGAGAUGCUCAGCUCCUGGGUUUCUGAUCUGACCGUCUCGCUGGGACUGCACUCCAGUGACCUUUAUCCCCUUUGUCAUAACCCAGGUCAGUCCUGAUAUCUGUUUAAAUUAAAAAUGCACAGUCCCCUUGACCCUUAGGAAUCUAUUCUGACACGAACAAAAUUGCCAGCGUGUUAGGAUACGUGUGCAGAGAUAUUUCUUUGUGUGGUGUUUGCCCUGGAAAAAGUCAGAAACAUAACUUUACCCAUAGGGUGAAUAGUAGAAUAAAUUAUGGCACAUUCAGUGUUAUGGAACGCCAUGAACCAUUACAAAGUAUUUGGUAGAUCUGUGUGUAUUGAUCUGGAAAGAGAUGUAGUAUAUAUUGUUGGGUGAAAAAGCAAAUACCUGAUUCAUGCCUGCCACAUAAUUCGUUUUUUUUUCUUUUGAGGAAAAAGAGCCUCCAUAUUGUGUGUGUGUGUUGUGCGUAAAGGGAAGCAAAGCAUGCAAGAAUGCACUCCAGGCUGUUUGAAUUGGUUACUUUGUGGGAUUGGAGAGAGGGAGAAAGUCACUCGUUCAAUUAUUCAUUUAUAUUCUCGUUCAUUCAUUCAUUGGUGCGUUCAUGUUUUCAUUCAAUGAAUAUUUAUUUAAGGUCUGCUGUGCAUCAGGCAUUGUAACCCUGGGGAUGCAGCUGUGAACAGAAUGGACCAAGUUGCUGCUUUCGUGCGUCUAGAGUGACUAACUGUUCCAGUUUGCCCGGGACUGUCCUGGUUUUGGCACUGCGAAUCCAGUGUCCCUGGCCGAUCCUUAGUCCUGGGCAAGCUGGAGGGAUGGUCAGCCUGUGGAGCGUGCAUGUUAGUAUGUGGGGGGGACAGAUAAACAAAUAUAAGAGUGUGGCCGGUGUUUUGGCGGUAAACGAGCCAUGUGGGAGCUCCUCCAAUUCGCUCACGGGGAGAAUAAUCCUCCUGUAAAUUGGGACUGGCUGUCAGUGAUGCGAGGGAGCUCUCUGAUCGCCCCACGGGUCCUCGGCCAGCUCUCCAAAUUGCUGAGUCGGCAGUGGGACCUAAUUUGUUAAUUAAGAGUAGAUGCUGAGCUGUCCUCGUAUUUUGAUUAACCUAAUGACCUUCCCAGCAUGGCUGGGACUCAUGUGUAGACAUCACUGCAACGUUUAAUGAAAUGAUUCGAAGGGCUAUUAGGAGACCCAUCCCGUUAUUAGGCAGCUCGUCUGCACUGGUAACUGCCUAGCAGCUGAGCCUAUCGGAGCCGGGGCCCCAGUGAACGCUUGGUGUUUGGUUAAAGGCGUGAUGCUUAAUCUUUUAGUCACGCUCGAGGGGUUGAUGGCCCUUCUGGCUUUGACCCAAUUUGCUCUGCACUGGAAGAGCAACUGGGAGAAGAGGCGUCACAGGCUCUGAGGCUGGAGCAGGUGCUGCUGGCGUCCUGCUCACGUCCCCUUGGUCCCAGCAUCUUCCAUCUGCAAGCACCUGUGACACUGGAGACUCUGCGUAGAGUUUUCCUUGCUGGCCCGUGCAUGGCCGGGAGUUCUGGGAGGGGAUGUUAUGAACUGAAGUGUCCCCCAAAAGAUGUUGGAGUCCUAACCGCCACACCUGUGAAGGUGACUUUAUUAGGAAAUAGUGUGUUUGCAGACGAUCGAGUUAAGAUGAGAUCAUUAGGGUGGGUUCUCAUCCAGUAUGACUUUAUAGUAUAUCCUUAUAUCCGGUAUGUCCUUAUAAAAAAUGGAAAUUUGGACAGAGACAGACUUCAGGUAGGCUGCCGUGUGAAGUUGAGGGCAGAGAUCAGAGUGGUGUAUCCAUAAACAAGGGAAUGUCAAAGACGGCCAGUAAUCCGGCAGAAGCCGGGAGGGAGGCGUGGGACGGAUUGUGCCCCCCAGCCUCAGAAGGAACCAACCCUGCCAACACUUUGACCUCAGGCUUCCAGCUUCCAGAACUGAGACAAUAAAUGUCUGUCGCUGAAGCCGCCCAGCGUGUGGGGCUUUGUUACGGCAGCCCCAGAAAAUGAACAGAGGGAGUUAAAACACUCCCACCCCCAGGGAAUAGGCUGCGCUCUGUGAUUGAUAGGACCCAGCUCCCUGGUGGGGUACACUGUCUCCCGGAGGGCCCCAGCGGGGUGGAGCCCCGUUGCCCACAGCAGUGACCCGUUGCCAAGCGCAUCCUGCACUGACUGCCCUUCCCUGUCUCAUUGCUCAUCCCCCAGCCGUGUUUCCUGGGAUCAUGUCCCACAUGGGCCACUUGCACGUGAAUUUCCAUCUCAGAGUUUGCUUCUAAGACAGGUCUUGACAUCGUCUUGACGGCCGGUAUGUGCAUGUGUGUGUGUGCAUGCCUGUGUGUCUGUGUGUGCCUGUGUGUCCUGUGUAGUAUAAAGACCCGGGCUCGCAACCUCCGGUGUGCGGGAAAGGUCACUUCAUGUCCAUAUUGAGCCCUCAGCUGGUGGACUGCCACCUUCAUCUUCGGGGUCCCCGCUGGCUCUUCUCCCCGGGUCGUGUCUCAGUUCUGGAAGAGGGGGUUCUGUGAUCCAAGGCCUGGUGGGGGCAUGGCUGUGUGCCACCCCCUUUCCAGCCUGAGAUGUCCUUGUUUCCCUCUGGUCCUUGGGUUUUGGCUCGUUCAAGUCAGCGUGGCCUCGUCUUUCUGGUCCAGCUCUGCCUCUGCCACUGCCGGGGCCAUCCUCGGCUGUUAUGCCACUGCGAUCAGAGGCUGGAGAAACACGGGUGCUCUGUGAAGCCACUGUCCACUUCUGGGCUCCUUCUGGGGGCGUGAGCCAACCUACUACACGCUCCGUGUGCCAGGUUGGUGUUCUCCUUCAGGAGCUGGAGCUGGCACUGGGCUGUGGGGCGGCCAGGCCUCAGGGCAGUGUGGCCUGAGCAGAUUCCUCCACAGUCCAUUUCCGGGUCCCCACUUCUCUCUCUCCUGGGACACUGGUCGGGACCGACAUUCCUGGGUACCAUCACAGCUGGGAGACCCUGGGGCGGGAAGAGAGAAAGACCUCCUUCCUUGGGUACGUGACUGGGCUCAGGGGCAUUUGAAUUUUGAAAAUGACGUCAGCAAUAUACAAAUCUAUGAAAAACAACCACCGAAACAUUUGGAGUCAAAGGUGAAAGGCCCCCUUCAGCUUGUCUGUUGACAAUAUUUCCUCUCCCAGACUAUUAUAUAAAUAUGGCUAUAGAAACAGACACAGCUAGAUAUAGAUAUAGACAGAUGUAGAUAUAGAUAGAUGCUACAGCUAUAGAUUGGAUAUGGCCAUAGAUACAGAUAGAUAGAUAUAGAUUUGGUUAAAGACAUAGACCCAGAUAUAGGAAUAGACACAUCUAAGAGUAGAAAUAGGUGCAGAUGGUGUAUUUUUAAAUGUACAUUAUUGUGCUGUCUGCGUGGUCCGGUGACUUUCUGUUCUCACUAGACAAUUGUCCUAGAGAUUUUCUGAAGCGAGUACAUCUAUACCCAUCGCAUUCUUUCACCCGGUCCCUUGUUAAUUGGCCAUCAAAUUGUUCCCAUUUCUUCUGCAGCUUUUUCAUACAAGGCUGCCACAAAUGUACUUUAACAGACACUUAGAUCUUUAUGUAUUUGUGCAAAUAUUUCUGCAGAGCAGACUCCUGGAAGUAGAAUUCCUGGGUUCAAAGGUAAGCCCAUUUCAAGUUGCCCUCCAAAAAGAUUGAGCCAACUGAUGCUCCCAGAGUAAUUUAAUUGGAAUGUGACAAAGGACGGGGACCUUGUGUACUUUAAGCUGGUGAAGUGGGGCAGAUCAGUGACAUGCAAAUAGGUUAUUAGGGAGCAAGCAGAUCUGAACCGGGUGCCACUCAGCAACGCUUUGUUGUUUAUUAUUAGUGCGCCAACUUGAAAGAGCAAACAAACUGUGUUUCUUUCAUAUGUUUUAUAAUUUAAGAUUCCUCUGAUAGAUACAAGACUUUCUGUCAUGGCCGUGAAAACGCACUCUGGGUAAUGCUGGUCCCUGAGGAAUGAAAGACUUGUGGAGCAGAGUGACCUCAGUGCCUGCCAUCCUUGCAGCCCUGCAGCUUGAGGAACGAUACCCCAGCUCAGUAUGCUAACAAGCACUUAUUGCUGUCUGCCUUUCAGGAUGGUUUGUCACGCAGCAAUCGCUGACUGAUACAAAGCUUUCUCUGUGCUCUGCUCACCCAUCUGUUUAGCCCACAAUCACAUGUGAUUAGAAAGAAAGAAAGAUUAUUAUGAACCGUUUACUUCUCUAAAAUCUUUACCAGACUGUAUGUUCAGAGUGGGAAGAAAUUAUAUUUCUCUGGUUUGCUUCAUCUAAAAUUCUACCUGGCCCGUGGCAGGAGCUUAGAAGGUACUUAUUGGAUGGAUAGAUGAACGAACGAAAGAAAGAAAGAAUAAAUGAGCUGAGCUUGCCCCAGUCCCUUGGCUGUCCUUGGAGCCUCCUAGUUAUAUUUUCUUUCUUUUUGGAAAAUUACUCUAAUUUUAGCCAAAGUCAAUUUUUAUGAUGUCUCAAAAUCAAACAUGCAGAACCCCCAAACCUUAACGAAUACAUACAAGUUCAGCACUUCGUUUAGGAAGCACUUCCUCCUCAUCUUUGGUUUAUUUCAUAUUUACGACAGUCUUAGGAGGCACCACUUCUUUCCCUUAAUUGGGACGACCUGAGGACCAGACAGGCCAAUCAUGGGCUCUUGUCUCCUCCACUAGCAGGUGACCUGGAGGAAGCUGGCAGCUGCAUCUCUAGCUCCUGGUCGAGGGACUUCCUUCAGCCACUUCCUUCGCAUGGGUUCUGCCCCUCACUGAAACGAUGGGGGUCCUUCUCUGAGAAUGUAUGUAUAGUAUUUGAGUGUGGUCCUCUCUCCAAGAAUGUGUCUUUAUGCCCGCUAGGGUGCAGGAGAAUAAAGUGUGAUUUUUUUCUGGUCAGGAAAACAUUAAUGAAAAAUGAACCAUCAGUGAAAUUAAUUUCCAAGAUUUAUGCAUUCUCCGUGACUAACAAGCCUGCACCUGUUCAUUUGACACCCUUUCCCAGCUCCCCCCUCACCCCCCUUCCCAUCUUUUUAAAAUUCCCCUCUUUCCCUGAAGGCACCUGGUUGGCGUGUUGAGCAGUUAAAUAAAUGUACAGUGGGCUAGAGACACGACUUGUUAAUUAAAAAUUCUGCUCUUCCACUUCACAGUUAUGAAGAGAUGAGCCAGGCUGAGCAGAAAGAGUUACUGUCGAGGAGAUGCUGGCUGGAUUUUUAUGUGCCGUUUAAAUGGGCCCCCGUGUAGUGGGAUGGGAGAGCAGACAUUCGUUAGCUUUCCCACUGAGCUCGCUCCGCCUCCCAUGCAGGGUCAUCUUCUCUCCCAUCCUCCCCUCCCUCUGCGUCAGGACGGCACCUUGUAGUGAGCGGGUCAUGCGUUCCCCACAUCUGCCUUUCCCCAUCCAUCCCUUGUCCUUGGCUCCAGCAUUUUUCUCUCCACACCACUGACCCUAAAUCUUCUCAUUCUUCCCUCGUGGACAUUGGUGGAUGGACGUCUCCAAGAGAUUGACUCAAUGGGCUCUUUCUGGUUGGCGGCUCUCAAUGGUUGGAAGCUUGUCUGUCGGACUUCGUAAAAAGCUACAGAGAAAUCUAAACUUUGGAUCUCUGACAACAGGCCUUCUUUGGACGUGAGCCCCAUCUUCACACUAGCCUCAGAUCUGCACGCUUCACCCUGAGUUGUGCCUUUCAGCAGCAUGAAAGUAUUUCUAGAUCUGAGAAUGUUCUAGACUCUUUCUCAUCUUCUAGCCUUCACAUGACCUUCUGCCCGAGGCGUAACUGAGGUGUAACAUACAUGCAGUGUGUGUAAAAUGCACACGUCGUAGUAGGUAGCUCGAUGAACGUUUAUAUAUGCGUACGCCUGUGUAACCGCCACUUAGACCAGGAUACGGAAUAUUUCCAGCUUCCCCAGAAAGUUCCUUUGUGUUCCUUCCCAGCCAAUACCUUCUUCCCCAGAAAGAACCCCUAUUCUGACUUCUAUCACCAUCAAUUCAUUUUUCUUGUUCUUGAACUUCAUAGGAAUGGAAUCAUACAAUGUGUCCUCUUCAGGGCUUUGGCUUCACCCAUCGUUAGGUCUGUGGAAUGAAUCCAUACUGUUGUGUCCUUUUUAUUGUAAGACUUGACCGCAAUUUACUUAUUCAUUCUCCUGUUAAUGGAUGUUUGCAUUUUUCUCCAGUUUUUAGCUAAAGUCAACAAAGCUGCUAUAAACAUUCUCGUGUAUGUCUUUUGGUGGAUAAGUGGGUGUGUUCUAUAGGGCGGAAAUCCAGAAGUGAAAUUUCCAGGUUCUAGGGUAGGUCUGUGCUUAACUCUGUAAGGAAUUUGUAGACACCUUUCCGAAGUGCUUGUGUCAAUUUAGACUCCCACCAGCAGUGGAUGAGAGUUCCAGUUGCCUGACGUUUUUGCCAGCACUUGGCAUUAUUAGUCUUUUUAAUUCUAGCCAUUCCGCUGGGAGGAUAUUAGUUCUCCCUCUCUUUUGACUGGCUUAGUUACGAUUUAUCUUUCAGAUGUCAGCUCAGAUGUCAUCUCUUCCAGAAACUCUUCCGUAUGAGUCUGCUUGGGCUGCUAUAACGAAAUGCUAUAGAAUGGGUGGCUCAAACAACACACAUGUGUUUUCUCAGAGUUCUGGAGGCUGGAAGUCUGAGAUCGGGGUGCCAGCAUGGUCUGCUCCUGGUGAGAGCCCUCUUCCCAGCUUGCAGAUGUCUGCCUUCAUGCUGUGUGCCUACAGGGCCCUUUCUUGGUGCAUGCGCAUGGAUGGAGAUCACUCUCUCUUUCUUCCUCUUCUUGUAACAGCGGUAACCCCACCAUAGGGGCUCCGCCGUCAUGACCUCGUCUAAACCUAAUGACCUCCCAAGGGCACCAGCACAUUGGGGGCUUAGGGCUUCAACCUACGAAUUUUUGGAGAACACAAAAUUUCAGCCCAUAACAUCUUCCCUGACUCCUUAGCCUGGGUUAGUCCCCGAAUGCCCACCCCAUCACGGCUCUGAUGGUGCCGAAGCGUAAUUGUCUGUUGGCUUGGCAGUUGCUCCCCCUAGACGUGGAAAUCCUCAAGGACAGGGACUGUGUUAGUUCCUUAGCACAGAGGCUGGCACGUGACUGGCGCUCAGUAGCUGUUCAUUGUCUGGAAUGUCAGCACACUGACUGUCCUCUCCCACGCAGGGCAAGACCCCGCGGGUCAGUCCCUUCAGCCACUCCAAGAUCCCUGAUGGCUCAAAGUUCCUAUGUGUCAGCCUCGUCUCCCAGCAUGGAGGGCAUGACCUGCCUCCCCGAGGUCUCUCGCUGUUCUGGGUCUGCUCAGCUGCCCCAAUUUCCCAUGCUUGGGUACAAGACGCCACCCUUGAGGUCUUUGCUAAAGCCUCCGAUUUCUGUGUCCGGCUCCAUUGUGCCUCCUGUCCCCAUUCACCUCAGGCACCAUCAGAAACCCAUGUCACGCUCCUUCCCUGACUGUUCUGUGCAUCCCCUGCUCUGACUCCAUCCCAAACCUAUCCACUGUGUUCUCAGGAACUCAGCCUUUUACCAGUAACUCCUGACUUCUCGUCCUCAACCUGUCCUCUGAUUGCCCCCAUCACCUACUUUCUCUUCCUGAGCUGAGGCUGCUCCCCCAAGGACACAGCUUCCCUCUUUGCCUCUCAAGUAGAUUCAAUGCCCCCGCCACCCCCCAGCUCCAUGUAGCCAGGCCCUGCAGGGGGCAUCAAUGGCCUGUGUUUAUCCCAUUCUUGCCCCCAGACUUUUGUUCUUCUUUCCUUCCUUGUAAGUCUCGGCUCCUUUAAAGCUGUUGUCAUCCAACCUGUCAGCUGUCCUUGCUGAUGUCAUCUGUACACCUUGGUCGUUCCUCAUUCACAUGACUUCACCCAUCUCACUAUUGCCUCUGCUACCAUUCUUGGUGACUUUAUCAUCCAUAUGGAUCAGUAGCUCUCAACCCUGCUUGAUGUUAGAGUCACCCGGAGCCCCAGCGGAGACCAAUUAAAUCAGAAUCGGCAGAGUGGGACUCAGGCGCUGCAUUAAAACAAAAUGUCUUCAGAAGAUCCUAAUGUGCAGCAGUGUCGAUAGCUGCUGAGGGCGAUGACCCAUUCAGUACCUUGGCCUCUCGAUUCCUUGAUCUCCUGAGCUGCAAAUCUUUUUCUGUAGUCUUCUUAGCUACCUCCUGCCACGGUUGAAUCCUAGACGUCAUCGUGGUUCCAUCCACAGAUGCUUCCCAUCCGUGACCACCACCUUCUGCUCUUCCAUCCUGUUUUCCUCCAGCCUCAAGGAGCUGCCAGUCUGUUGACAUUUUCAUUCUCCCUCACCAACCUCACGUCCUCACUUUCCUCCAUGAUCCAGCAAACUCGGGUCCCACAAACUCAAAGUGAGCCCUCAGAACUGUUUAGCAGUCCCACGAUGUGCGCCUGGCUGCUUUCCUUGGGGACCAUUGUUUUAGAUCUCGUCUUUCCUCAGUUCUCCAAACUGCCCAUGCCCCUCCCCCUGGCUAUGACAUCAUCAUAUAUUCUAUAGAGAAAAUUGAUAAUAGGUGCACUCACAUGAGUACAACUUCCUCUUCCACAGGCCAACCAACACCUGCACCCGUAUUCCCUGCCUUCUAUUUUAUAACAAGAGACCUGUCCAUACUCCUGUCGAAGGUCAACCCAUCACUGGGACCCUAGAUCCAUCCUUUCUCAUCCUCUCAGAGCAUUCUCCUACAGCUCUUCCUUCCAUCCUGCAGUGAUGACUGUCUCCUCUCUCCUAGAUCAUUUCCAUCAGUCUCGUGCCCUGACACAGCCCACCCAAAAGAACGUAAAUGAUCCUCUCCCGACUCCGGUUUCUAUGAUCUCACACCCAUUUUCAGCUAGAAUCCCAAUUUCCCAUCCUUUUCCCCCGCAAAAUGCUUAUAUUUAUGGUCUCCACUUCCUCACCUCUUUUCCUCUCCUUAACCCACUGCAAUUAAGUUUUAACCUUUCUGAAAAGCGACCCCCGCUUUGCUAAAGGCGGCAGUUGAUUUCCUUUUCUCAUCCUGCUCCAACAGCAGCAUUUGACAGCAUUUGACACUGUUGAUCACUUUCCUCUUCUGGAAACAGCUUUUUCUCCUGGCCUCCGAGACACCACACUCUUCUGGUUUUCUACCUCCAGUAUUGGCCACUUUUCCUCAAUCUCUUUUUGCUGACUCCUCCUCUCCUAUCGGACCUCUAAAUGUGUGCAUUUCCCAGGAUGUCGUACUCAGCCCUCUGGACCCAUCUUCUCUCCUCACGACCUCGUCCCGUCCUGUGUCUUUAAAUCCCAUCUAUGUACCCAUGAUUUUAUCCCCAACAGAAAUCAAUUGCUUCCACUUCUUCAAAGACUAAUCAGCAUCUCAAACUUAUCGCGGCCCAAACAGGGUUUUGGAUUCCUCCUCUCGUCCUGCUCUAUGGCCCUCCAAGCCAUCCCUGUAUCUGGAUAAGAUGCUACUUCUGAAGGUUGUGUAGGUCCCAAACCUAGAAGUCAUCCUUGAUUUCCUCUCUUCUCAUCCAGAGCCAGUCUGUUAUCACGUCCUUUUAGGUCUUCCCACAACAAAAUACAUAUGGGAUGGCCCUACUUCGUGGCAUCACCUUGACUGCUACCAAAGUGGGCCAGGGGAUGCUGGAGGCAGAGACUGGGUGAUGCAGCCACAAGGCAAGAAACUCCAAGGAUUGCUGGUAACCACCCAAUGCUGGGAAAAGGCAGAGAAGGUUUCUUGCCUGGAGCCUUCGGAGGGAAGAUGGCCCUCCUGACACCUUGAUUUUGGACUUCUAACCACCAGAACUGUGAGACAAUAAAUUUCUGUUGUUUUAAGCUACUUGGUUUGUACAAUUUAAAAUCCCAGCUCUACCAAAGACAAGCUGUGCCAUUGGGAAGCGACUCAACCUCUCUGUGCCUUGUGAGGGGACGAUGAUAGUAACAGUACCUGUCUCACAGGGUUGCUGUGAGGCUAAAAUGAACGAACAGGUACCUGGCUCGUAGGAAGACUGGGUGAAUUUCUCCCAGUGUUAUUUAGCUUUGUCACAAUGCAGAUUCAGUGUCAACUCUAGAUCCAAAAUUUGCUACUUGUGUGACCUUGGGCAAGUCCCAGAGCUUCAACUCCCUCUUCUGAAAAGAGGUACUAAUCAUAUAAUCUCAUAGGAUUUGGGUAACAAUGAAAACAAGAUUAAGAUAAUUAAGGAGUGCAGAGUGGGUACCCAAGAAACAUUACUCCUCCCGAACACAUGAGUGGGCUGAGUUCUAAAAAUGUGUUUGAAGGCACAUGUUUUGAACUAGAAAUGCCUUUCCAGUAGAAGCCAGACUCCAGUGGAUUGGUGGUGUCCCAAGAUAGCCCGUCACAUUCUGUUUUUAAGGCUGAGAACAUUUUCGUUAUGAAAUAUUUCAAGUCUUCAGAAAAGUACAGGAAAUAAUAUGACACCCGUGUGCCCACCCCCUGCAGUUAACAGAUGUUAACAUUUUGUCAUAUUUGCUUCAGAUGUUACAAGAGGAAGAAACUGUUACAGUUACAGCUAAGACAAAGCUAUUAAUCAAGAGUGCAGCUGAAUUCUGGUCCUGAGGAAUGGUUCUGUGUUAGGUGCUUCGUGGAUCCUGGGGACGCUGACACAACUGAGUGAGUGCCCUGCCUUCUGCGGGCUCACAGACCAGUGGGAGAGGCAUACUUGUCAAUGGAUAAUUGUCCCACACUGGGACAAACACCACAGCAAUGGAGUACGCCAGAGCAGUGGUGGUGGGGGCACGGGCGGUCCGAGAAGGUUUUCUGGAGGAAGUGCCAUUGAAGUCAUACCUUGAAAAGUUAAGUGGAAUUUUGUUGGAUGGAUUAACGGAGCAAUAGGCUUUCUGGUGGAGGGAACAGCAUAUGCAAAGACAGGGAGGCUGGAAAGGGUAUGUGAUCUGGGGUUACAAUGUACAGAUAAUGAUGUACAACUUCUGCCUGACCUUUUGAAUUGUGAGAUGUUGUGUCUGUUUCCUACAGUUCCAUAACAAAUUACUGCCAACCGAGUAGCUUAAGACCACAGACAUUUAUUGUCUCACUGUUCUGGAGGCUAGAAGUCCAAAAUCAAGGUGUCAGCAGGGCCACCUUCCCUCUGCAGGUCCUACGGGAGAAUCCUUUGCCUUUUCCUGGCCUCUGAUGGUUACCUGCAAUCCUGGGAGUUCCCUGGUUUGUAGCUGCAUCACCCCAAUGCCUGCCUCCAUCAUCUCUGGUCACUUUCUCCCCCUGGGUUUCUGUUCUCUUCUCCUCUUCACAUGAGGACACCAAUGACAUUGGAUACCACUCCAGUAGGACCUCAUCUUAAUUUUUUUUUUUUUGAGGAAGAUUAGCCCUGAGCUAACUACUGUCAAUCCUCCUCUUUUUGCUAAGGAAGACUGGCCCUGAGCUGACAUCUAUGCCCAUCUUCCUCUACUUUAUAUGUGGGACGCCUACCACAGAUGGCUUUUGCCAAGCGGUGCCGUGUCCACACCCGGGAUCUGAACCAAUGAACCCCAGGCCGCUGAGAAGCAAAACAUAUGAACUUAACCGCUGUGCCACCGGGCCGGCCCUUGACCUCAUCUUAAUUUAAUUAAUCACGUCUGCAGCAACUCUGGGAGCCCAAGGAUUUUUCCCCCAGGAUGGCCCCUCCGUGCCUUGGGUGUGUGUAUAUUUUUAUAUACACGUGCAUACUGUACAUUUAUGUGUGCAUGCAUGUAGAUAUGUAUUUUAUAAGCUUUGCUUCUGCUCUAAAUGUCACCGUUCUCAUUUGUAGGCACAGGGAGACAUCUGUCAUCCCUCCUAAGUCUCAAGGGCAUGAAUUCUUGUCUUGGUUUUGCAUUGAUCUUUUUAAAAAGGAAAUCCCCUCUGUGGAUGUGACCAAGGCAAGGGAUCUAACGGGUUGCCAGGACACAGUCCAGUCAAUCCGAUAUUUCCCGGGCAUCUGCCGGAUGCCUCGUGAUUCAGCUGUGGCUGAUUCCUUUGUGCCGUCUUUAGGUGGCUGGUUGAUGGAGAUUCCAGGUGUCAGGAAGACCUAAUUCAUAAAAACAGGCUUGGGAUACAGCCUGAGAGGACGUGAGUGCCAAGUGUGGGCAGCCGGCUCGUGAAGCGUUCACGGGCCUGAGACAGCACACGUAGAAGACAGUUGGAUUGUGGGGUGUUGAGUCAAGCGUCUGGAGCUGCCAGAACCUGAGGAUCACCUGGGGGAAGCCUGAGAACAAGGCACCAGCCCGUCCCCUUAUUUGUAUAGCACUUUGCAGUCGACAAACACAUUGAUUUGGCACAUGUUACCCCCUUGAGCACUGUCGCAUCUCUGUGAUCUAAGCAGUUGCCUAUAUUAUGGUUCACUCUGGGGAUGAGAAAACGGAGACCCAGAGAGGUGAUGUUGUUGAACAUUAGGACUUCUCUGAGAGCUUACAAGGGGCCUUUGUGCCAGUGCCAUGAGUGGACCCCAGGGCUGCUCCAUCUGUGCCCUCACUGUGGGCCGGGGGCUCCUCCCUCCUUCCGGGAGGAGAUGUUGGCUGUGGUUCUUAGGCUGGGCCCACAGGGAGGACCCCUGCUGGACGUGGAUUCAGGGAAUCCCUCCACUGGCUGGCGGGGGAGGGUCAUUCCCCCGUGGGGGCAUCACAUCUCAGAUGCCCCUCUCUGCCAGUCAGUGCCCCUUGUCUGGGAGGCCCUUCAUUUUCUUCUCACCACCUUCAUUUUUCCCUUCCACAUCUCCUCACAUCCCUUUCCGCCAUCUUUCCUUAUCCAGCCUCGGAGGAAUUACCCAUCCCUAACCCCCAUGUGCCAGGCACGGUGAAAAGUGCUUUCUCUCCGUCAUAAGCCUUACCGCGUCACCAACAGGAAGGGGCUGUUACCUCUGAUUUGCAGGUGGGGAGAUGGAGGCAUGCGUUGAAGAAGAUGCUGGCCCAAAGUGGUCCAAAGUCACUUAACUGGAUUCGAAUCAGUUUUAAGGGUACCUGGGAUUUGCUUUAAUCAAGGAUGGUAAGACGCAGAUGUGGAAAGAGCUGUCACAAAGGAAGGAGUUUCUCAUAGAAACAGAGGGCAGGGCACGUCACGCAGGGCCACAUGGAGGAGCACCAGGGUCAGUCAGGAGGCAGAGGGAGUGAGGGGGAAUGUGGGUAGUGCCUUCAUCGUGGUUUCCGUGGGCUGGAACGGGCAAGGGAAGGGAAGCGGGCUGAGGGUCGGCUGGUUGGAAUAAUUUCAGUGGGCCUGGGGCACGGGGCUGCCCCUGGUUGUCUGGUACCUGGGCAGUGGUGAUUGGGGCGGAGGGGUGGUGGCCUGAGGGAGUGUGAGAGCCUGAUAAAGGGGGUGGCUGGCUGUGGGCUCCGGUUGGCUGAUUUGCAUACGAAAUGUGUGCUUGCAGGUGAGUCAUUCGCUCCCCUUAGAAAUCAGCUUAACUCUGGGGAGGGGCAGCCCCUCCCAGCUCAGCAAGGCUGUAAGAUGUCAAGGCAUCCAAGAUAUAGAAUAAAAAAGGACAUGAUUUUAAUACAGAACCCAAUUCUUAGGAGUACAAAAUCACGUUCUUUCUACUCCGCCCAUCCAUCCUUGUCAAAGACCAGGAGAUGAUUCCUCGAGACCUAGAAGAAAGAAGCACUAUUUUUUUUUUUGGUCCAUGAAUAAUUAUUUUCCUUUUCAGAGUGUGUGCAUUCUUUCUCUUUCUGCAUCCUUCUCUUCUUGCAACCACUUUCUAUGUGAUAUCUAAUGUGACAGUUCUCUUUGAGGGAUCCAGCUUGGGUGACUGUCAGGUCUGUGAUUAAAAAGCAUAAUAUGCUGGCCCAAUGCACCAUAACAAUAGUAGUGAACAGACAGAAGGAUAUUAGAACCGUUGAAUUCUUUGCUGCAUCUCUCUCUUCGCAAGGGCUGGAGCGGAUGCUGGAAAUGCUGCAGUGUAACUCUUUCAGGCUGGCAGUCAGUGGCACCCUGGGAAUCGGAUCAGAGGGUUUUCUUGGCCAGGUGCUCAGAGGCGAGCCCCAGAGGCUCCGUCUGUCCUCUGUGGCUCCUUGGGAGCAGUUUCAUUCCCACCAACGUUUGGCUGAGCAGCGGAGAGGGGGCAAAGAGACCUGUAUCUGAGAUGAGAGCCUGUGUCCGGAGAAUCAGCACAUUUACCUCAAUCCUUGCUCUACGUGUGCGAGUCGGGUAAUAAUAACGAGAAUAAUCGCUUACAUUUAUGGAGCUGUUAUUAUGUGCCAGGCUCUGCGCUAAGCACUUUCCACGCAUCAUUUAUUUAAUUCCCACAAUGAAUCGAUGCAGUAGCCAUGAUUGUUGUCUCCGUUGUACGGAGGAGGGAACCAAAGUGUAGAGAGACAAGGACACACAAGUAGCAGUUGGCGGAGCCACAAUUCAAACCCAGGCAGGCUGACUGUGGGACCUGAGCUCUGAGCAUCAUUUAACAGACGAAGAACCAAGACUAAAAGACGAAGUGACAUUUCCUUAAGGCCGUGGUUCUUAACCAGGAGUGGUUUUGCCCCCACUGGGGGACAUUUGGCAAUGUCAGGAGAAAGUUUGGUGGUCACAGCUGGGCGGGGGGUGGCAGAUGCUGCUGGCUUCUGGUGUGUGGAGGUCAGAGAUGCUGAAAUCAGCCUGUGAUACACAGGAGAACCCCCACCGUACAGAAUGAUGUGACCCCAAAUGUCGACAGUGCUGAGGUGGAGAAACCCUGCCUUAAGGUCACAUGCCUGGAGCCAAGCCAGGAGCUGAGAUCUGGACUCCAGACUCCCAGCACAGUGCCCAUCCCAUUACUCCAAGCAAAGAGUCUUCCCCACUGGAUAGUGAACCUUUGAGGGAGAGGCUGGCAUGAUGAUGGCGUUGUUGCCUCUUGACCUCCCAGCAACACUUUGUGGGAAGUGUGAUGAGCCCCAUUUCACAGAUGAUGAAGAUGAGGCCAAGGAAAUUCAGGAGACAUACCCACGAUGGCAUUAUGAGGACAAAGCAGAGCCAGGACCUUAACCACCCCCCUCUGACCUCAAAGCCUUUGCGUUUAUUUAAGUGAAUUAACUGCAAGACACCGGCACCCAGAUGGGCAACAGAUGGAGAUCAGGGCCCUUGGGAUUUCACUGUGUUGCGUGGAAAAUCCAGGAAAAAAAAUCUCCCCAUCUCAAGCUCCUUCACUUGUCACACUUGUGAAGACUCUUUUGCUGUAUUAGCCCUGAGCUAACAUCUGCUGCCAAUCCUCCUCUUUUUGCUGAGGAAGACUGGCCCUGAGCUCACAUCUGUGCCCAUCUUCCUCUACUUUAUAUGUGGGACGCCUACCACAGCAUGGUGUGCCAAGCGGUGCCACGUCCGCACCCAGGAUCUGAACUGGCGAACCCGGAGCUGCCGAAGUGGAACAUGCGCACUUAACUGCUACGCCACUGGGCCGACUCCACCAGUACUUUCUUUUUGACAUACAUCCCGUUUCUCACUCUCGACACUCUUGACGUUUGGGACGGGUCACUCCUUGCUGUGGGGCGCCCAGUGCACUGUAGGGUGUUGAGCACAUUCCUGGACCCUACUCACCAGAUGCUGGCAGCACCGCCCCCUACAGUUGUGACAACCAAAAUGUCUUCAGAUGCUGCCAAUUGUCCUCUGGGGGGCAACAUUGCCCCCAGUUGAGAACCACUGACCCUCAUCAUGGAAAUGGAAGACCAUGACCUUGGCCUUGGCCCUGGGAUUACGCAGUCAGCUUUGAGUUGGGGCUGGCCUCUGCUCUGUGUGGCUCAGAUAAUGAUGGUGAUAACGAUAAUGAUGACAUCACAGUCAUUCUCAGAGCUAACACUGUGUUACGGUGUCAGACGCUGUUCUAAGCACCGAUCAAGAUCAAGACUCCUGUAAUCCUUUGAACAGCCUUACAGUGUAGGUUUCAUCACUGCCUCUGUUUUACAGAUGAAGCGACAGAGGCACAGAGAGGUUGAGAGUUCACGCAUGGAUGCUAAGCUGUGGAGCAGAGAUCCAAACCCCACUGUGCUCAAGGGCUUGUCCUGGUCCCAGAGGCGGUGGGUGGACACUGAAGGGUAUUAAGAAGGAAGUGACAGGCCAGAUGUGCACGUAGGAAAAGUGACACUGGAGGCCAGGGGGAGGAUGAAUCCACAGCGGGCAAGCGAGGCUGGAGGCAGGGAGGCCGGUUCCACAACUGAUGCUGAAAUCCAGGUCUGGAGGAAGGAGUUCUCACAACCCAGACACAGCACACAUUGCCCAGGAGAAUGGGGCUGCUCAUUCAUUUGUUCAUUUAUUCACUCAUUCAUCUCACGGUUAUUCACCGAGGAUUUCCAUGUGCCUGACGCUGUCCUAGGCACUGGGGUUGACUCCGUAACUGCCUCGUCGAGUUUACAGUCCAGGGGGAGGAGACAGACGAACAAAACAAAAUAAAACAAAACCGCAACUAAACCAUCAUGCAAACCAACCAACCACGGAAACGCUUAGAAAUGAUGACGGGUCCUGUGUAGGAAAUGAAGAGACAUCAAGUCAGGUGGGAGGCGGGGAGGGAGGGGGACGACAACCCUCCUCCAGGUGGGGUGGUGGCUUUUUUGUUUUUUUCCUGAGGAAGAUUCGCCCUGAGCUAACAUCUGUUGCCAAUCUUAUUUUACAUGUGAGCCACCGCCACAGCAUGGCCACUGACAGACCAGUGGUGUAGGUCUGUGCCUGGGAACUGAACCUGGGCAGCUGAAGCAGAGCAUGCUGAACUUAACCACUAGGCCACCAGGGCUGGCCUGGGGGAGGGGGUUAAGGGGGUGAAGUGGCUUUUAAGCUGAGCCUGGAGGAGGAGCAGGAGGAGGAGCCAGCCAGGGGAAGCCUGGGAUGGGGGCGUAGUCUGCAGUGAAAACUCUCCAGCAAGAAUGAUUUGGGAUGUUCUAGAAGGAGCAAGGGGGCCAGCUUAGGGGAGUGAUGGGAGGGAGGAGGAGAGCAGAGAUGAGCUGGGCCUUGUUGGCCAAGGCGAGGAACUUGGUUUUUAGUCUAAGAGCAAGGAAAAGGAAUUUAGCGAGUUUUGAGCAGAGGAACGUUGUGGGCUGUUUUAGGAAUUAAAAGAUCUCUUUGGUGGUGCUGGAUGGGGAUGGGCAUGUCAUCAGGGGCUCGUGGCAGGUGCCCUUGGGGACCGGGGAAGGUGCAGCAGGAGCUGGGAGGAGGGGGCUGGGGUCUUCCCAGGAGUGGUAGCCCACUGCAGCAUCCACGAGGAGCAAGGCCAUCACCCUCAGAUUCCAGAGCUGCUUGGAGAGCAAACCCUCCCACCUACGGGGGCUCGAGAGCUGGGGCUCAGACCCCCAGGACCUCCCAGCAGCAAAGCCACGUGGCCUCAGCCAGUACUGACACAUCUGCCUGCUGGAACCUUCCUUGCCAAUUCUAUUUUUGCUCCCCUUGGCAGCUCUGUGGAAAUUAAAAGGCUAUUUGCAGUGACUAAUUUUGCUAAUUCUGAUCAAACAAUUUAAAAUUCAUCCUUCGCCAUAUCAGAGACCCGCUAGGGAACAGAAUUAACACAUCAUUUACGGCAAUUUCUACGACGGUGGGUGGAAAACAAAAAAGACAUUCAAAUUGUCUCCAUUCGAACCGCUGCUCAUUAAACGGCCUCCUGUAAAACAUCCCAUCCUGGUCUAUACAAUAGCUCCCUGUCUGUUUCCGGCUUAUUAACCGAGAGGAGGGACCGACGAGCUGGUCGCUGGCUCCAAGGUGAUGGGAACAUCCUGGGAGUCUGGUGGGAGGCCGGCUCCAACUGCAGCUCUGGCUCCUCUGAGCCUUCCUGUCUUCAGAAGGGAUGCGGCUCCCGUUUCCAAAAGUUGAAAUUCAGCAAGCCAAAUAUUAAAAGAAUCAAGCUUGCCAGCGUCACCCAAACUUGAGUCACUCACGUAUCCCCUGUGUGAUUUUUGCCAUAUCAUAUCGUAUGAUUUACUCACUAUAAAGCCAACCCAUUUAAAAAUUAAAUUAUUAAUCUAAUUUCCGCAGGAAACUUUAUAACAUAUGCAAUAUGUAUUAAUUAAUGUAUGAAUUUCACAAACAAUAAAUAAAUGCUAAGUAUAAAAAUACAUACAAUGGCUUAAAAACACUUGAAGUUGACUUUUGAACCCUUGGCCUUUGUUCUAAAUAAGCUUCUGUCACGUGUGUGUGUGUGUGUGUGUGUGUGUUAAAAUACACUUAAAAAAGGGGAAACAGGGGCUGGCCUGGUGGCGCAGUGGUUAAGGGCACACGUUCCACUUCGGCGGCCCGGGGUUCACCGGUUCAGAUCCCAGGUGCCAACAUGGCACCACUUGUCAAGCCAUGCUGUGGUAGGCGUCCCACUUAUAAAGUAGAGGAAGAUGGGCACGGAUGUGAGCUCAGGGCCAGUCUUCCUCAGCAAAAAGAGGAGGAUUGGCAGCAGAUGUUAGCUCAGGGCUAAUCUUCCUCAAAAAUAAAAAGAAAUGGGCAAACAAUUAAAAGGCAAUUAUAUACAUAUUUGCAAGCCUUUUGACCAUGUGACAAAUAUGAUAAAGUUAAAAAGUGAAUUACCAGUUGAAAAAUAAAAGUUUAAAUGUAACAACAACACAAAGGAAAUAAACACCGUGGAGAAGGAAACAUGUAUUAGUUUCUAGUUGGAUACAUUUGCCAGUGAAGGCAACUUAUGCAGCGCAGAGGCAGCACACAGCCUGGUCUGGAGGACCAGGGAAGACCUCCUGGAGGAGGUGACCCACCAUCCCAGUCGCUGUGUCUCUUUGAAGUCCCGAGAAGCAGCAGAAUCCUAAAAGAUAUAGUUGAUUUUUUUUCUAUCUCACAUCUCGAGCCUGCAAUUACGCACUUCUACCUGCCUUGGGCAGGGGUGUGUGUGUGUGUGUGUAUGAUCUUUGGUGUAGAUUUUAUAAGGUCCAAUAUUAUGAUAAUGUCUCUAGUCAGCUCUCAGUUCUACCCUUCUCAUCACCAUGGCAACCCACAAA
rnacentral:lncRNA from 1 species